UCCUCCGUGGCGCAAUUGGCUAGCGCGGUAUGUGGUUCUCUCGAUCAUUAUGGCUCAUGGACUAAUCCCUUUCAAGUCAGACUGUUAUCCCACGGUGCAUCUGGAGGCUGUCAGUUCAAUCCUGACCGGAGGAG